rnacentral:tRNA from 4 species
GCUGGCGUAGCUCAAUGGUAGAGCACCGGUUUUGUAAACCGGCGGUUGCGAGUUCGAUUCUCGCCGCCAGCUCCA